rnacentral:rRNA from 1 species
CCUACGGGACGCAGCAGUGAGGAAUAUUGGUCAAUGGGCGGAAGCCUGAACCCGCCAAGUAGCGUGCAGGAUGACGGCCCUACGGGUUGUAAACUGCUUUUAUACGGGAAUAACGCGCCUUACGUGUAGGGCUUUGCAUGUACCGUAUGAAUAAGGACCGGCUAAUUCCGUGCCAGCAGCCGCGGUCAUACGGAAGUGCCGGGCGUUCGCCGGAUUUAUUGGGUUUAAAGGGAGCGGAGGCCGCAUGUCAAGCGUGCUGUGAAAUGUCCGGGCUCAACCCGGGCCUUGCAGCGCAACCUGGCGUGCUUGAGUCCGCGGAAAGCAGGCGGAAUUCGUGGU